rnacentral:rRNA from 1 species
UACGGAGGGUGCGAGCGUUGUCCGGAAUCACUGGGCGUAAAGGGCGCGUAGGUGGCGCGGGCAGUCAACGGUGAAAGUUCGGGGCUCAACCCUGAAUCGGCCGUCGAUACUCCCGGGCUUGAGCACUGUAGAGGCUAAUGGAAUUCCGGGUGUAGCGGUGGAAUGCGUAGAGAUCCGGAAGAACACCGGUGGCGAAGGCGGCCAUCUGGGACAACACUGACGCUGAAGCACGAAAGCGUGGGGAGCAAACAGG